rnacentral:tRNA from 1 species
UCCUAGUUAGCUCAGUGUGUAGAGCGCUCCACUGGAAAUGGAGAGGUUCCUGGUUCAAUGCCAGGACCAGGCG